AAGUCGCGCCCUCGCGCUCACCCCGGGAGACCCCGGAGACCGUUGAAGCGCGGGGCGGGGGGCGCUCGUGAGCGGCGGCCGUUAACCGGCCCGGCCCUUGGCGAUGCCCGUUCCGAGGCCUCACCGGCGGGAGGGGGGGGGCAGACGGACACACGGGCCGCCCAGGCCUCACCCCGGCACGGGUAACGAGGCGGGCAGCGGCCCUUCUCCGCAUUUAAAGACCGUUAAAUUCAUCCCUCCCCCGUCAAGAGAGGGCGGCUGCGGGUGUACUCACCGGUCAGGCUGGGCUGCUCUCGCUGCCUGCCUGCAAGGGCCGCGGGAAAGGAUGGGCCCCUCUGGGGGCUCCCAGAGCUUUCGACACAAAGCAGACCGUCAGCUGUAGGGUUUCUUCAGAGACUUAGCCUGCUGAACUUUUCUUUGAGAUGAGGACGUAGCCACAUAAAUCAGAGAAGAGCGGAUUGUUUCACUCAGAACUGCAAGUGGGGGUCACGACGCUGCAGUUAUGGACGUCCUCCAGCAAAGAUCCUUUGAGCACAGCGUACGGCUGGGUCAUACCUUCUCUGCUGCCUCACCGUGACCUCUCCUUCUUCCAUAACAUAUACUAUAGGCAGCAGGUCAUGGAAUAUAAGAAAUUCAAAGCACAAUAUUGUGGCCAGAGUGUGAAGCAAGCACGUCAGAAGAGGAAUGCAAAAGAGAGCACAAGCAUCUCAUUUUCAGCCUGCAGGACAGAUGCAUUCAGUAAAAUAGCUAGGUUCAUUAUGUAAAGCAUUUUCUGUUUUUUGCCUAAAGUUACCUCUUAGGUCUGUUUAAACCUCAUAUGUACAGCCCUUCACCUAAUUCUAUUUUUUACUUUUAGUUCAUCAGCUUGUAAGUCUACCACUUCUCACAAGCUGGACCAGGCUUACGGAUUUCACAGUAAACUCUUUAGUAGCUACUUCUGCCACGUUGAAGAGCUUGCUGCCUGUCUGUCAUGUUAAAAGACAAUGUUGAAUUGUCACAGCCUGUUCAGACAGGUAUUUGUUCUUGGACAAUGCCACUGCCGUGGGCUUUUGAAAGUAAACAUGGCCUCGCUCCCCCCAGUUGCCACCUUGUGGCACCUGAUAAACAAGCGCUCUCCAAUUUUGCAGCUUGUUGGGAGACCUGUCCGAAUUACGUUCUGAAAGACGUCUUUGGCACUUCAGACUGCAACAGUGAAUGGAGCUGAGAAGACACAGGUACUCAGAUGAACAGACGUAAUGGGAAAUACAAGUUUCUAACAAAGCAAUUCAAGUCAGCUUUGUGUAAUAUAAGACUGAUUAUAUCAAAGUUAAGUGAUGUUUUAGUUCUACAGGUGUCAACUUCUGCUUUUGCCUCUCCUAAAAUGGUUGUCGUCUUCAUAAAUUCUUUGAAUGUGAUGAGGGACUAAUCUUUAGGGUGAAGGGAAUGACAUCCAGCUAGAAACUUCACAAAACAAGUGCCAUACAUGCUAUAAACAGGGAGGUCAGCCAGAGGUGACAAACAACUUUGAGGUUUAGUAAGCCUGAAGCACCGGUAAGCCUCAUUAAACUUGUCUUGAGGAGAUACAACUGAGGGUGGCCUCUUGCAGUUUGAGGAUCUGAGAGAUCAGCGAGAGAAGCAACAGCAACUAGUCCAACACUGAAACUGCAGCACCAACAGGGUUUGUAGAUUUCUGGCAAAGCACCUUUGCCACUCGAGCUCUCAGCACUUGCAUAAAAUGAGGCUCCAGGCACUUAAGCACUGUUAGGUUUUUUACAGCAUGUGUGGGACAACUGUUGAUUUGAGAGGGAGCUCAGGCAGGACUGAAACAGGAACUGGGGAGUAAGCAAAGUGCUGCUAGCAGAGCAGGUUGGUCUGGCUUGUUCUUGUAACAUUUCAUUAUGUUGCUUCCUCUCAAAAUGAUCCAGAGCCACUUCAUGCCAAGCAACUAAUUACAGGGUUUUUUCAUGAGCCUGUCUGAAUAAAAACUUAACAUUGUAUCUAGCACUUCUAUCCUGAAGAAAAGCAGUAUUUUAUAAAAUUAUUUUGCUCCAGGAUAUAUGAAAAGAAAGCAUUAAAUCAGGGCUGCUGAUAAUUCUUCAUGUUUUCAAAGUGCUGUACCAAGUGUACGUUAUUAUUCUUUCAACAUACGGUUUAGGAUUCACCUGUAUAUUUUUUUGCACAUUCUAUAAAACAGACAAGAAGGUUGAAGGAGUUUUUCACUGUGUGCUUUUAAUUUUGGGUGCUAAAUUUGGUAUACAAAAGAAUGUGUCUCUCUUAAACUACAUGUUUAUGCAGCUGUAGUCAGGGAGCAAAAAGAAUAGGCUGCUCAGCAAGCUGAGAGCCAAGGCUGGCAGCAAGGCAGCAAGGGGCACAGUCCCACAGUACCGGAGUGAGGUCUAGUGACAAAAACCUGGUUGAGCCACGAGUUCAGUGACUGGUGGACAAGUCCGUGGUGAGAAGGCAGGUCUGGGGUAGAGCCAGUACAGUGCAGCAGGAUCAGUGGGGUCACAGCUACAACCUAGUUCAAGAAAGGGCCAAGGCCGAGGGCUGAAGCUUGAAUGCAGCUCCUGAGCAAAGGGGAAGCAGCCCCCACACAGCGCUCCAACAGCAGCCUGACUAGGCCCCACAGCCACAGUCUGUCGGAGCUGGCCUCGAGCUGGGGCAGCCAGGCCCCUCAGAGGGGCAGAAGGGGGUCACUGAGCCUGUUAGUGCUUCCAGAGCUGUGACAGCUGCCAUGACUGGAAGUAGAUUUAUAUGCAAAGUUAAAACACAGUGUAGAUACAGAACCCAAUAUGGAAUAAACAGGUAAACCUAUUUCUGUUAGAGAUUACCAUCUACUACUUAUAGUCAAUCUCAAAAUUGAUUUAUCUGUUAUGAGUAUUCAUUCCCCAAAUUAUUGUCAAGUUACAUCCAACCUAACACCUGAAUAUGGUAGUCCAUUCUGCCUUAGCUGUUGCAUUCAUGACCCCUUUUAGCUUAUGCAAUGACUCUGCUUCUUUUAAUUUGAAUAUACACUUCUCAAUAGAUGUUGUAUAUUAAACUGGAUACUGUAAAUGUGAUUUAUAAUUAAAUAUUCCAAUUGUAAACCAAAAUUAUACAUAUAAAAAAAUUGGAAUCAUGGUUGAUCAGCUACUACAAACUAUGGGGGUGGUGGAUUUCUCUAAGUCAAGAAUGCUUUUUAAGACAGAAUGAUUUAGAGAAAAAAACCAAAACAAAACAAUUUAUUGAGUUCAUUCAAUUCCAAAAGAAAAUUAGGAGAUGGGAGUUAGUCUGAGCACUCCACUUUCUUCCAAAAACAAAUGGGACAAGACUGUGAAAACUCCUGUUUGAUUUACAAUGUGUUUUAGGAAAAACAUCAAGCGUGAGGCUAAACUUUCAUGGAUUACAGUGGUUAAUGAGCGUCAUACUAUUACCUCAACCGGGCGGUUUCACUGUCAGCCGUUUAAUUUGUUAUAUGUUUCUCUCUGGAGAUGUCUGUUCACAUGUGGUUCCUUAACACCUCUUAGUUUUCUCCAUGGCACCAAAUAAACUAAGCCUCUUGA